ensembl:lincRNA uncharacterized LOC106007141
GGCUUUUUGUUUGUUUUUAGGUGAAGAGGGUUAGCAUAUUUAUAGUCGGAGAAAGGAAUUGGAAUUAGUUACAGGGGAGAGAGAGGAUAAUUAAUAGGUUGAAGUUCCAAAGAGGGAUCAGAGUGCCAGUCCAGCCCUCAUCAGCCCCUGGAACACCCCAAAAUUUAAAAAAAAAAAUGCAUUCUUGUUAUCCCUUCUUGAUUCAUCGAUAUGGCGCUGUACCCUCUCGCUUGGUCUGGGUUUGCAUGUGCAUUCUUGACCUCCUGCUGGAUUCCCCUGACCUUUUACUUUGCCUCUUAUUUCCUUUAGCCUGCUCUUACCCUUAAGGUCUGAUGACGGAUUUAGCUUAUCAGGCACGGAGCCACUGUUCCCCUUGGCGACACUAUUGCUUUCAACCUCAGCUGUUGCAACUCUUGGCCACCUUGAGCAGAGGCCCUGCCAAGCGCCCCCUCCCUGACUCGUCCACGUGGAGGGGAAGUGCUUCCAGAAGGAGCUCGCAGCAAGAGGAUGAAAUCUGGGUGCAGGGGAAGGUGAGCUUGGAGGCCAACAAGGAGGAGGUAUCUAUCUGGGGCAGCUAAAUCUGUUAUGAGGUGUGAAGAAAGAGACAAGGAGAGACAAGAUUUGUUGCUGAAUUAAAAAAAAAAAAACUGCCUAUGUUUCACAUAAGAGACAAAUAAUAAAUGUUUACUAAAUUGACCUAAAUGGACCCGGGAUCAAAGACGUGUUGGCUUAUAGUUGAAAUGCUCCUUGCUGUGGUAUGCAGUUGAAUCAACAGUACUGAGAUCCAGAGCCCUCUACUGUAUUGAGGCACCACGGCUCCCUGUGUUUUAGAAUGCCAGGUUGAAGUCCAAAUAAAGGAAACAGUACCAAGUAAGUGCUAACCCAAUUCCUGCGUCUGGAGAAGUCCUCACCUUGGAGUCUGGUUGGGCGACUCAGACAUUGCUUAUCCUUAAAGCAGAAAUAAAUCAGCGACUGACUUUUUUCACCUCCUCGGGAGCAAGGGCUGAAAGCAACUUGGGAGUCUCCCACCCGGGGACCAGAGAGACUUGGACACGGUCCAGUGCAGUGGACAGAGCCUGUGCUUGCCUGAUCACCCCCAGUCUGCACUCAAGGAGGUAGCAGUGAUGGCUUCUUUAGACCAGCCCUCUGUUGGAAUGGGGGCAUUUUCUAGGUCUGUCACCCUACCCUGACAUCUCCACCCAAAGCCUCAGCGAGCUUGUGAGGGGCCUUUCUGUGCAGAAGAAAAAGCUGCCCCCUCCUGGCAGGGGUGGGUCUCUGCCAGUAUAGGGCCCUUCUGCUCGGGCCCUUUCAGGGGGUCCCGGAGCUAUCCGUGCUCCUUUUCCUAAAUUUCUGUUCUGUCAAAAGCCACCCAAAUUUGCCUUGUGGCUGACAACAACAAACCCCUGCUGAUAUAAUAAGGCUACCACACUUGCCCAGUUAUUUUCAGAGGCCUUUCAUAGUACUAUGUGCCUCUGAAAAAUAGAAUUCUUUUAUUAUAAGACAUAUAUUAUCUGGCGUUACCCCAGGAUCUGUUCUAUACCCCUAAAAUAACAGAACUAGCCAAUGUUUCUACUUAGUUAGCCCUGGUCUACUAACCCAGAGUAUAUCAUUAGCUUAGACCUUUAAAUGUUCAUAUUCAACAAUAUAAAGGGCUCAACUGCCAAUAUCUACAUGAGAUAUUUUAAAAGUUGAGUUUAUCUCACCCUGGGAAGGAGGAAAAGGAAAAGACUAGUGUUACAGCUUGGACCUGGGGGACCCUUAAAGUACACAUGGCACAAACCCAUUCCUGGAAAGAAUAACCUGGGUCACUGCUGACCCCACUCUCUCUGCCACUGAGAGACCCCAGCUUCACUCUUGCUGUGCAUCUUUUCCAAACAUCCUCCGGUCACAAUGCCUACCAUCGCCAGUGAAGGCACACAAGCCUCCCACUAUUGUCAGUGAGCUUACUUCCAGAACACAGUCAAGUCCUACUAAAUCAUGGCGGUCCCCUCCUCCUUUACACCUCCUAUCUGAAUUUCUGUGGGUCCCAUGAAACAUAGGCAGGCAUCUCUGGUCACCUACCAUCCACUGAGGGCUCCUUCCCGUGUUGCUGUUUUCUCUGUCCUAUCUGUUAAACCAAACCCUGAGCUUCUCCCCACCCUCCUACCCAACCCCUGUGAUCUCUGGAAUUCCUGCCCCAUAAUCAUUCAUCUUCCUUACAUUCCACUUCUUUCCUGGACAUUGGCUCUGCUUCCUUGACAUCACUGAAAUAAUCCCCCUGGUGACAUUAGACCCCCUGGAGACUUCACCUGAAGGCUGUUUUUGUGCUUGCCAUUGUCCUUUCUGUAUUCACAGAAAGUGUUAUGGACAAGUGUUGCCAUAGUUACCCAAAACAUGUCUCUCCUUGAGUGCUCCUCUCACCUUCCCAAAGACCUUGAGCUACUAAUGAUCACAACUUCUUUUAUGCAGAUCCUCUGGAGAGGAAACUCUAGCCUCUCCCCUCUUAUUGAUGUGUCAUCGAUAUUGUCUCCCAGGGUGUGGUUUGUCAUUUCAUUCUUUGCAGUGUUUUUUGAUGAACACAAACUCUUAACUGCAAUGUGAUUAAAUCCAUCAAUCAUUUACAGUUAAUGAGCCUUAUAUAAUAUCUACAACAUAACUUUUAUUUACAAUUUAUAGUUUACCUUUAUUUACUUAGGACUAACAUUCAUAAUUUAUGACCUUAAAGCCCUAGUCUAUGAUAUUAUCUUCAUAAUGUUUGAUAAUUUUUGGCUUUCUUAUUUAGAUAUUUGGUCUACCUGAUUAUUUUUUAUUUCUGGUGUGAGAAAGGCAUUCAACUUUGUUUUUGUCUGAAAGGAGGGUCAACUUCCCAGGAUGAUUUAUUGAAAAAAAAAAUCAUAAUUUCCCUACUGACCUGCAGUACUAUAGUGCAUUUGUUAAGGCAUCUAUUUGGGAAGACUAGAUUUUUCUCUGCCUGUACCAACAACUUAUCUUAAUUACUUUAGCUUGGUAGUACUUUAUGUAAGCAAUGUCUACUUGUCAACUCACCUAUUUUUUUCCUUCAAAAGUGUCUUAUUCUUGACUUUUUGCAUUAUGCAAAAUUUAUAAUCAGCUUAUUAAUUUUCAAAAAAGAAAAACCUGUUGGGUAUAUGACUACUUUUUCACUGAAUCAACUUAGAGACAGUCAACCUUUUUUAAACAUUGUUUUCCAAUCAAUAAACAUGGCCUAUCUUCCCAUUUACUUGGGCCUCCUUAAACAUCAUUUAGUAAAGUUUUAUACAUUUACCCAAGAAGUUUUUGCCUCUGUUAUCAUUUUUAUUACUACAUACUUUUUUUCUAUUAUUUUAAAAUCAGAUGUUUAAUUUUAUUGUUCAACUACUGCUGGUCUGUGAAAUGCAUGCCAACAUUUAUUUGAUUUUAUUUCCAGCAAUUUGCUAAAUAAAUUCUCUUGUUAUUUCUACUAAUUUUCUGAAGCAUCUUUUGCAGUGUUUCUGCACAAAACCACAUCAUUUGCAAGUAAUUUCAAUUUUGUUUCUUCCUUUCUAAGCUUUGCAGUUUUACUUUCUUCUCCUUGUCUUCUUCCACAUAGGCAUGCUAAAUUGAAAGAAUUGUGUGGUGUUAUAAGCAGAUGUGUUACACAAGUUCCACUUUUGUAAGCAUUUAUUUGCAAUAGUUCAUUGUUAUUAAGUGGAGAGGUAAACAUAUAAUGAUAAAUGUUCAACAAAACUUUUUAAUGUCAUGUUAAUGAAAACUUCUAAGAUGUUACAGAUGUUACAAUGCUAUCUCAUCUUGACGCCAUUAUGUAAACUUCACAGAACUAUCAAAUUGUGCCUCAUUAAAAAUGCCAUUUGAAGAUUUUUCAUUGGCAAAUGUUGACUACCAUGACAUCUGAUUACCUUGAACUAGCAAGCAAAACUUUGAUGUUAGUAACAUCAUUUUUUACAAUAGAUUAGAGAGUAAGCAUUUGCAUUUGUAUUGUUGCUUAAAAAAAACAAAACAAAACAAAAAGACACAGACUUCAUCUUUCAACUAUUAAGUCAAGCCUUGGCAAUUUAGUUUCUGCAAAACAAUUGUCUUUUACAAUAGUGUAUUAAUGUUCCAAAUUUGAGAUAUAUUUUUCUCCAUGUUUAAUUUGUAAAUUUAUUUGGUCUUAUGUGGUAUAAGAGCAAUGAUUUGUAUAAGAGUGUUUAUGUUUAGUUUUAGUACAUAUUUUAGUAACAUUGUAAUUAAAGUAGCUUAAAUCAGUCCUGGUUGCCUGGUUGAAAUGGUGUCUCAUUUCAUUACUUAACAUUGGAGAAAUUCUGUUCUAAUGAGCUAGGAGACACUCCUUGGUCUCAUUUUGGAGGACCCUAGCUUUGC